UUACUCAGGCUUAGAGUAGACCCACUGAAAUCAGUGAGGCAUCAGAUGAUCUAACUCGAGUCCCAUUGAUUUCAAUGGGUCUACUCUAAAGCCUGGGUCCAA